UGAAGUUAAGUAAUUUUUAAAGCAAUUUUUGAAGUUGUGUGAGAUAUAAGCAUUUAAAAUAGUUCUAUACUGAUAAACAAAAUUGAACAGAAAACAGAUUUUCUUAAUGUAGUGAAUGUUAUUUAAUAACUAACGAAAUUUAAGAUUGUAAUCUGACUUUUCGUUUCAAACAAUUUUCUAAGAAUAAAAUCUGAAAUAAAACUGGUUAAAAUCUCUCUUGAAAAUUGUAUUUAAUAAUUCGCAAGUAUCUGAUUUUGAGUAUUUCAAACUAAGCUCUUAAAAUCACAUCGUUUGAUACGAAAUUUGUAGAAAAAUAUCUAAUUAAACAGUUAUAGGGUAUUGAUAAAACAUACAAUUUGUUUACUUUCAUGUUAAAAUUGAUUUUCAGUUAUGAAAAAAAAAGUAUUGUAAAGAUGAUUGUAAAGAAAAAAAAAAGGUUUACAGCUAAAUUAAGUCCCUCCUAGCGCAGAAGUGAUGAAGACUAUACGAAUGUAGAAACCUAAAUACGAUUUUUGUUUCAAACUUAAGUAGAUAAUUAAACAUUUUUAAUAGUCUAUAUACUUGCAAUAAAAUAAGUUAAUAAAAGCAAUUCUAAUAUAAGCACUUAAGGGUUCUUCGUGUUUUGAUAGAGCUUAAAUCCAAUGAUUUUAUAGUAUUGUGGUGUAAUUGCAGUUGAAAGUAAAAUUUAAUAAAACAGAUUGUCAACAAAAUGCGUACUUGGCUCAGGAAUUUUCAACUUAAUUUUAAACUAAAAUAAAAAAAAUUAUUUUAGCAAGUAGAUGCGCUAUUGAGUCUAGUCAAAGUACUUAACGUAAAUUGAAGAUAAAUUUUAAGUCUAUGACAAAUUUAUGAGUUUUAAUGAUACUUAUUCGCUGCUGGAGUAGCAAAAUAAUGACUAACUGUUCAGUUCAAACAGAAUAAUGACUAAGUAUUCAGUAAUCACAUAACACACCUUAACAUUAACCAUAACACUAAUUCGCUGCUUCAGUGGUAGAAUAAGUAUAAGAGUAAACUCCUUUUUUGAAUAAAAGUAACAUUAUGAUUGGGUUAAAUAGAAACUGUGUUGGAAAGUUAGCAAAUUAACCGGGCAAUUUUAUUUAAAAAAAUUUGAAUUACGAAAUUUUUGUAGGAAUUUUGUUACAAAAGUAACAGUGAGUUCUUCAAAGUAAAAGCUAAUUUACUAAUGACUAUGAAAAUGAUCUUUUAGUUGCAAUUGUCGUAAAUUGAAAAUAACUUGCAAAUUGCGUUUCUUACAUUUGAGAGUACUUAUAACAAACUUCAUUCAAACCAUAAGCCUAAAUUCCAUUUUACAGAGAAUCAGAUUGGCACUUAGUUCUAGCCCUACUUUAAUGUUAAAAGCAAAACUAGUAGAAAAUUAAGUUUCAUGAAAUUUUAUGUGUAGAAGAAUUAUUUUUUUUAUAUUUGAAAAAUUACUUUACAAUAGAAAGUAAAUAUAAAAAGAAGUUUUCAAUGUCUUGCAUUUCAAUCUCUUGUAUUUGCUUGAAACAUUUUAAAACUUUAGUAAUGCAAAAGUUGCUCAAUUAACGUAUCGCCUUGCGUUUGUAGUCCCGUACAUCUCAUAAUUCGAGCUUUCGUGCCAUACAAAACUAUUUAUAACUAAAGGAAAGACCCAGCGGAUAAGCGAAAUAUUUUUAAUUCAAAAAAUUAAAUAAAAUUAGAUUAUAAACAUUAAGUUUAUACAAUUUACAGUUUAAGAAAUUUUAACUAGAGUAGGCGAACCUUCUUAUAAAAUCAAAAGCAUUAAUGUAAAAUAUCGUGAGCAUUUAAAUUUUCAGAAAUUAUUAGUUUAAGAAAUUAAAUUCUAAAACAUAUUAAAACUAACCUAGAGGAAACCUGUGUAUCUGAAGUGUUUUAUAGUUAUAAUUGGUCAACGGUUGCUAUGUUGUGAGAGGUCAGACUCUAAAGUACAUAUUACGAUAAUUCAUAGUUUGAUUUACAAAAUUAAGAGUUAAAGUUUUAAGGGAAAAAGAUAAGUAUUUAAUUUUUUGCUUUAAUAUUACUUUUAAACACUAAUUUCGGCAGAGACAGUUUAGAGAUUUUUAAAUUUCAAUCUUAAGCUAUUGAGUCUUUUCUAAUCUUUUUCAGAAGAGCUUUUUAACCUAUCCUUCGAAACCAGACUAUAGCUGAACGGAGAAUCUCACAGGAUGAAAGGGGCUAUCAACCGUUUCUUGAUUAACAGACUCAAGCAGGAAUGAAUUCUGACUUUAAGGACAUCGCAUCAAGAAUUAGCCACUUCUAUUGGAAUCUUCACCUAUGCUUUACUUCGUGAAACUGAGCCUCUGAUGCAAAGAGAAAAAUCUUCUACUAGAAUCUGCACAAAAUGGUUUACUACAU
rnacentral:lncRNA from 1 species